GGUUAAGUGACUAAGCGUACACGGUGGAUGCCUAGGCAGUCAGAGGCGAUGAAGGGCGUGCUAAUCUGCGAAAAGCGUCGGUAAGGUGAUAUGAACCGUUAUAACCGGCGAUACCCGAAUGGGGAAACCCAGUGUGUUUCGACACACUAUCAUGUCAUGAAUACAUAGUGGCAUGAGGCGAACCGGGGGAACUGAAACAUCUAAGUACCCCGAGGAAAAGAAAUCAACCGAGAUUCCCCCAGUAGCGGCGAGCGAACGGGGAGGAGCCCAGAACCUGAAUCGGCUUGUGUGUUAGUGGAAGCGUCUGGAAAGUCGCGCAGCAAAGGGUGAUAGCCCCGUACACUAAAAUGCACAGGUCGUGAGUUCGAUGAGUAGGGCGGGACACGUGACAUCCUGUCUGAAUAUGGGGGGACCAUCCUCCAAGGCUAAAUACUCCUGACUGACCGAUAGUGAACCAGUACCGUGAGGGAAAGGCGAAAAGAACCCCGGCGAGGGGAGUGAAAUAGAACCUGAAACCGUGUACGUACAAGCAGUGGGAGCACCUUCGUGGUGUGACUGCGUACCUUUUGUAUAAUGGGUCAGCGACUUAUAUUUUGUAGCAAGGUUAACCGUAUAGGGGAGCCGUAGGGAAACCGAGUCUUAACUGGGCGACUAGUUGCAAGGUAUAGACCCGAAACCCGGUGAUCUAGCCAUGGGCAGGUUGAAGGUUGGGUAACACUAACUGGAGGACCGAACCGACUAAUGUUGAAAAAUUAGCGGAUGACUUGUGGCUGGGGGUGAAAGGCCAAUCAAACCGGGAGAUAGCUGGUUCUCCCCGAAAGCUAUUUAGGUAGCGCCUCGUGAACUCAUCUUCGGGGGUAGAGCACUGUUUCGGCUAGGGGGCCAUCCCGGCUUACCAAACCGAUGCAAACUCCGAAUACCGAAGAAUGUUAUCACGGGAGACACACGGCGGGUGCUAACGUCCGUCGUGAAGAGGGAAACAACCCAGACCGCCAGCUAAGGUCCCAAAGUCAUGGUUAAGUGGGAAACGAUGUGGGAAGGCAUAGACAGCCAGGAUGUUGGCUUAGAAGCAGCCAUCAUUUAAAGAAAGCGUAAUAGCUCACUGGUCGAGUCGGCCUGCGCGGAAGAUGUAACGGGGCUAAACCAUGCACCGAAGCUGCGGCAGCGACGCUUAGGCGUUGUUGGGUAGGGGAGCGUUCUGUAAGCCGUUGAAGGUGGCCUGUGAGGGUUGCUGGAGGUAUCAGAAGUGCGAAUGCUGACAUAAGUAACGAUAAAGCGGGUGAAAAGCCCGCUCGCCGGAAGACCAAGGGUUCCUGUCCAACGUUAAUCGGGGCAGGGUGAGUCGACCCCUAAGGCGAGGCUGAAAAGCGUAGUCGAUGGGAAACAGGUUAAUAUUCCUGUACUUGGUGUUACUGCGAAGGGGGGACGGAGAAGGCUAGGCUGGCCGGGCGACGGUUGUCCCGGUUUAAGCGUGUAGGGGGUGUGACCUGGUAAAUCCGGUUGCAUAUCAACCCUGAGGCGUGAUGACGAUGCACUACGGUGCAGAAGUAGUUGAUGCCCUGCUUCCAGGAAAAUCCUCUAAGCUCCAGGUAACAUUAAAUCGUACCCCAAACCGACACAGGUGGUCAGGUAGAGAAUACCAAGGCGCUUGAGAGAACUCGGGUGAAGGAACUAGGCAAAAUGGUGCCGUAACUUCGGGAGAAGGCACGCUGGCAUGUAGGUGAAGUCCCUUGCGGAUGGAGCUGAAGCCAGUCGAAGAUACCAGCUGGCUGCAACUGUUUAAUAAAAACACAGCACUGUGCAAACACGAAAGUGGACGUAUACGGUGUGACGCCUGCCCGGUGCUGGAAGGUUAAUUGAUGGGGUCAGCCGCAAGGCGAAGCUCUUGAUCGAAGCCCCAGUAAACGGCGGCCGUAACUAUAACGGUCCUAAGGUAGCGAAAUUCCUUGUCGGGUAAGUUCCGACCUGCACGAAUGGCGUAAUGAUGGCCAGGCUGUCUCCACCCGAGACUCAGUGAAAUUGAACUCGCUGUGAAGAUGCAGUGUACCCGCGGCAAGACGGAAAGACCCCGUGAACCUUUACUAUAGCUUGACACUGAACAUUGAGCCUUGAUGUGUAGGAUAGGUGGGAGGCUUUGAAGCGUGGACGCCAGUCUGCGUGGAGCCAUCCUUGAAAUACCACCCUUUAAUGUUUGAUGUUCUAACUCGGCCCCGUGAUCCGGGGUGAGGACAGUGUCUGGUGGGUAGUUUGACUGGGGCGGUCUCCUCCCAAAGAGUAACGGAGGAGCACGAAGGUUAGCUAAUCACGGUCGGACAUCGUGAGGUUAGUGCAAAGGCAUAAGCUAGCUUGACUGCGAGAGUGACGGCUCGAGCAGGUACGAAAGUAGGUCUUAGUGAUCCGGUGGUUCUGAAUGGAAGGGCCAUCGCUCAACGGAUAAAAGGUACUCCGGGGAUAACAGGCUGAUACCGCCCAAGAGUUCAUAUCGACGGCGGUGUUUGGCACCUCGAUGUCGGCUCAUCACAUCCUGGGGCUGAAGUAGGUCCCAAGGGUAUGGCUGUUCGCCAUUUAAAGUGGUACGCGAGCUGGGUUUAGAACGUCGUGAGACAGUUCGGUCCCUAUCUGCCGUGGGCGUUGGAAGAUUGAGAGGGGUUGCUCCUAGUACGAGAGGACCGGAGUGAACGCACCACUGGUGUUCGGGUUGUCAUGCCAAUGGCAUUGCCCGGUAGCUAAGUGCGGAAAAGAUAAGCGCUGAAAGCAUCUAAGCGCGAAACUUGCCUCAAGAUGAGUCUUCCCUGGGCCUUCAAGGUCCCUGAAGGAACGUUUAAGACUAAGACGUUGAUAGGCUGGGUGUGUAAGUGCAGCGAUGCAUUGAGCUAACCAGUACUAAUGAUCCGUGAGGCUUAACCUU
rnacentral:rRNA from 1 species